rnacentral:misc_RNA from 1 species
GGCUCUAUGUUUAAAGGUAAUUCAAUGAAGCAUAGAAAAAGACAAUUUGUACUUGAUGAGAACAGGCGUAACACAUACAGCCAAUUAUCAGCUGGUGGACGGGAACCAUCUGUGUUGGCUACUUUUGAUGCAGAGAGGAAGCAGCUGAUGGCUGUAGGGCUUCUGUCAGAGCAUGGUUAUGCAAGGAGCUUAGCUCGAUUUGCCGCAAAUAUUGGCACCAUUGCAUGGAAAAUUGCUUCGAAAAAAAUUGAGAGGUCUUUGCCAUCUGGAGUUAUGUUUGGCCCUGGAUGGGUUGGGGAAAAGGACAUCCCACCACAGAGGGCAUUGCUUCUUUCUUCAAACCCUCAAGGCCUGCCAUCACCAUCACGGCUUCGCAGACUUCCCAAAGAUUCAUGUGCUGUUGUCGCAUCUUGCAGUGUUGAAUUGAGAGAAAAACUGUCAGAAAAACCUGAAAUGAAUGUGAGCAAGAAUGAGGUACCUCAAAUUCACUCGGCUUCAGGGGCACCACAACUAACCAAUGAUCUUUCAUCAUCUGCCUCAACAUCUACACUCCAUGCAGCUGCUAGUAAAUCUGAACCUUGCGCGGAGGCAGCAGUUGACGUAUUUAACUCUCACGGGCGUUUUAACAUCCUCAACAGCAAUACAAGUAUGAGCAGGCCAAGGCCUCCAUUUCAGAUUCAUCAGAGCCAUGAAUUUCACCCUGGCAUGAAUGGAUUCAAUGGCACCCNNNCUUCCAGCCCAGAUGGGAAAACUAGUUGGGGCUGCCAGGCCUGCUGGGAUUAACUUUCGGCCAUCUCUGACUGACAGAGUCUCCGCUACUAAUGCUAACUUUGUCCAUCCAUCAACAGAAAACAGCGUGAACUUAAAAAAUCCAAAGCUUUCCGAGAAUUCCUCUGCAAUAAAUUCCAGUGGUGCACUACCAAAUUCUGGUAACGAAAAAAAGGAAGCCCCAAUAUCUGGAUACGAACCCCGG